UACGGAGGAUGCAAGCGUUAUCCGGAAUGAUUGGGCGUAAAGCGUCCGCAGGUGGCUAUGUAAGUCUGCUGUUAAAGCGUGAGGCUCAACCUCAUAAGAGCAGUGGAAACUACAUAGCUAGAGUGCGUUCGGGGCAGAGGGAAUUCCUGGUGUAGCGGUGAAAUGCGUAGAUAUCAGGAAGAACACCGGUGGCGAAAGCGCUCUGCUAGGCCGCAACUGACACUGAGGGACGAAAGCUAGGGGAGCGAAUGGG
rnacentral:rRNA from 1 species